UGCCAGCAGCCGCGGUAAUACGGAGGGUGCAAGCGUUAAUCGGAAUUACUGGGCGUAAAGAGUUCGUAGGUUGUUUUGUAAGUUGGCUGUGAAAGCCCCGGGCUCAACCUGGGAUGGUCAGUCAAAACUACAAGACUAGAGUAUAGUAGAGGGGUGUGGAAUUUCCGGUGUAGCGGUGAAAUGCGUAGAGAUCGGAAGGAACAUCAGUGGCGAAGGCGGCACCCUGGCCUAAUACUGACACUGAGGAACGAAAGCGUGGGGAGCAAACAGGAUUAGAUA
rnacentral:rRNA from 1 species